rnacentral:rRNA from 1 species
CAGUGGGGAAUAUUGCACAAUGGGCGCAAGCCUGAUGCAGCCAUGCCGCGUGUAUGAAGAAGGCCUUCGGGUUGUAAAGUACUUUCAGUAGGGAGGAAGGUUCAUGCGUUAAUAGCGUAUGGACUUGACGUUACCUACAGAAGAAGCACCGGCUAACUCCGUGCCAGCAGCCGCGGUAAUACGGAGGGUGCGAGCGUUAAUCGGAAUUACUGGGCGUAAAGCGCAUGCAGGUGGUUUGUUAAGUCAGAUGUGAAAGCCCGGGGCUCAACCUCGGAAUUGCAUUUGAAACUGGCAGACUAGAGUACUGUAGAGGGGGGUAGAAUUUCAGGUGUAGCGGUGAAAUGCGUAGAGAUCUGAAGGAAUACCGGUGGCGAAGGCGGCCCCCUGGACAGAUACUGACACUCAGAUGCGAAAGCGUGGGGAGCAAACAGGAUUAGAUACCCUGGUAGUCCACGCCGUAAACGAUGUCUACUUGGAGGUUGUGGCCUUGAGCCGUGGCUUUCGGAGCUAACGCGUUAAGUAGACCGCCUGGGGAGUACGGUCGCAAGAUUAAAACUCAAAUGAAUUGACGGGGGCCCGCACAAGCGGUGGAGCAUGUGGUUUAAUUCGAUGCAACGCGAAGAACCUUACCUACUCUUGACAUCCAGAGAACUUUCCAGAGAUGGAUUGGUGCCUUCGGGAACUCUGAGACAGGUGCUGCAUGGCUGUCGUCAGCUCGUGUUGUGAAAUGUUGGGUUAAGUCCCGCAACGAGCGCAACCCUUAUCCUUGUUUGCCAGCGAGUAAUGUCGGGAACUCCAGGGAGACUGCCGGUGAUAA